UUGACUCUCUCUCCAUUUUCACUCUUAAAUCCUGGCCCUUCAUCUGUGAGACUUUUUUCCCCUCUAUUCUACUCAAGCUCCUGUAUGACGUCACAGAACGCGUUGAUGGAGUAUGGGAUGAAGGAGAUGAGUGUCUCCAUGGUUUGAUUUGGUGGGUAAUCGUCAUCCCUGCAGGCCCUGUCUCUGUAGCCUAUCACACAUCAUCGUGUUAGGUUUUCCUCUCUUCCCCCUUUCAGCGACGUCUGCACAACACAUGAGGAAGGAGGAACAGAAGAACUGGGUUGAGUUAUGUUAGACUUUGAUGGAGAUUAGACAAUGGAGGAAGGAGAAAGCAAGGAGAAGGACAAGAGAUGAUGAUGGAAAGUACAAAAUUUUCAGAAUCCGAUUCAGAGGGAGAAGAGAAGAUGGUGGUUGUCAAUGGUUAGGUGAGGCAGCUCAGAUGACAGGAUAUAUCAUCCCGAUUUUUGAAGGAAGAGUGAAGAAGAGGGAAAGAAGGACUGCUGUCAGAUGAGGAUCAGUAGCAACAGAGAAGAUGAUGCACUAUUUUGUCAUCGUUGUAUCACAUCAGGUAUGAGAAAGGAGGUUCAGCUCAGAGAAGCAGCAAAGCAGAAUGUGGAUACUGAGGUACUGGAGAACUGGAAAGGCUGAAGCAACAGAGAAGAAUUUGAAGAGUAAAUCUUCCAAUUCAUCCACUGAGCAAGACUUCGAUUCAUUUCUUCUUGGAGAUCUUGAAGACAAUGAUGGAGGUCCAGGUUUCUUUGCACCUCUUAUCUGUGUUGUUGGACUUGAUUUUGCUACUCACUUGGGAAGAUGAUGGAUUGAGAUGGAGUGUUGUCAGGUGUGGAUCAGAAGAAACAGAGAAGAUGAUGGACUCUUUCGUCAUUGAUUUCUGCCUUGUCCUCGUCAGAUCACAUCAGAUUGCUAUGUUUAUUUGAGCUUAGAGGCCGCAGAUAAGAUAAGAGGUUGCAACAGGUGCUACUGUUGCUGUCGAAUAAUCAAGAUGGGAGGUACUUGAGUAAUAUAGGCAGGAAGAAGGUGGAUCCAUAUGAGAUUAGUGACUUGUGGAGUUGGGCCUAUAGUGGAUAAUCUAUACGCACAAGGGGUUUGUUGGGAAACUUUUAAUUUUUAUGAUUUCUUUGUAACUUAUAUCUAUUCUCUCAUUUUGCGAUUCUCUAUCUUUGUAUUAGGUUGAAGUUCCCCUUAUGCUUCAUUUUAACAAAUCUUUGGCUUAUAAAAAAACUACAUUCUAAUGAUCUAUUUUCUAAUCAUGACUUUUAAUCCAUGACCCAACUACAUUUUAGUGUUCUGUUUUCGAAGUAUUCUUUUUAGUCCAUUUUGUUUGUGAUCCAUAUGACUUUGAAAUAUAGGAGUGUGGUUACAUUGCAAUGGCUAUUUCCAAAGAGUAUAUGGAGUCAAUGGAUACAGUACUGAGUUGUUCCUAACAAAUGUGCUUUAAUCUCAUCUUAGUGUGUUUGGUAGUGUGUGGUCGUUGGUUUCUAACACUUAAAUGGGUUACCAAUUGUUGAUAAGGAUUUAGUGUUGAAUAUUGGGUUGAGAACCCCAUGGUUUCAAUAUUGUGCUAUGUAGUCAUCAUUAAGCAUAGCUGUUGCGGUGUAGGCUUGCACCUUUGUCAAAGGAAUUAAGAUCACUACAAUUUGAAACUGUGUCUUGUCUAUAUAGCUUAUCGAUUUCAAAUAUAGUUAAUUUUGAUUGAAUUUCUGGUUUUGGAAUUGGUGUCCAUUUCAGCCCAUUUGUUACUUUACCAUAUUUGAUGAUGCAUGACACAAAAUAUUAAUAAUCUAAGGUUUAAUACAAUCUCAAUCCCAUGUGAAUGUCUUUUGACUAGAAUGAUUAUGGUUCAAUUCAUCUGUUUUCCUAUCUGCAGUAACAUUUCCCUUGGAUCUUGUGAGGCGGCGGAAGCAGCUUGAAGGGGCUGGUGGGCGAGCCCGAGUGUGUAAUGCAGGCAUGACAAAUUUCUUGGAGAUAAACCAAAGGGUGGAGAGAUUGGCUGAAUCAAGUGACUACAGUGAGUACUGAAUGCAGUGAAUCCAGAUCCCAGAUGGAUGAGAUAAACUUUCUUUUAUCAAGACAUAUGUUUGUAAGCACCAUUGUCCAAGCUCUUUAUUUUUCAUAUGUUAAAAUCUGAAUCAUGUAUUAGACUAUUCCUUUUCUCAUCAACCGUGUGUGUAUUUUUACUGUGGAUGAGCCCUAUGUUUCAUCAGGUGCUGAUUCUUUAUCACACAUGAGGUUUUAGAUGAUGAAAUCUGCACAAUAAGAGAUGUUUAAACGGGUGAAUCAGUCAAAAUCUUGAUUAACCCUUUCUGCUCAUCUACAUUGUUUAAAUUUUCAUUGUUAAUGGCUUUUUAUUAUCUUUCUAAAAUAGCAUUCAACCAUUCACCAUUGCAGAAGAUGCACAUGCCUUGCUCCUUUAUGCCAUUAAGUAUCUAUUUUUACUUAUAUUAAGUGUUUAUUUAUGGUUUCGCAUUUAAAUGGGGUUGCCCAAAGUAUGUUUUAUGGUUUUCAUUAUUUGCUUAAGGUUGAGAAUGUAAAUGGGAAACAAAGUAAGAUACUAGAUUUCAAGAGGGUUGUUGGGAAGAGUCACCAAGUGGGUUCAGACAGUUUGCUUAUUCUGCAUGCUUUUGAAAAUAUCAUGAAAGUUUACUUUGGUAACAAAGUUGGACUGGUCAACAGGUCAAGUAUACUGGUGUCUUGCAUGGCUUAGAGGUUCAAAAAUAUCUCAUGGGAUUCUCUGUAGAUUUCUUUAUUGCCUUUCCUUUUUACUCUCAAUAUAAAUGAGAAUCGUACAUAUAUGGUCAUCAAUGAAAUUCAUUUAUCAAUUCUUUGAAAUAUCUUCCCUUGCACCUUUUAUCCUCCUUACUUCAUUUUAAAUAAUUGCGUAAAUUACAAACUAUUACCAUUGGUAUGUGAAUUAAUUUGUUCAUUUUAUAAAAUUAUAAAAUAAAAAAUUAUAAAAUAUAGAAUCGCUCGUCCGUGCAUUGCACGGAAACGGGCUAUUAUCCUAGUGUAAUUUAACUAAAAGUAAUUGAAAGUUUACUACGUACCCUUGGUAAUGCUCUCCUAUCAAGUUGGAAAUUUCACUCAAAGCCUGUGUCCAUUCAAGUACUGUCUUAGAAUAUUUUCCUAACACUUUUUCAUGUUCGGCCAUGGCUACACCAUAACUCUCUUUUAGAUUCCUUAUAUCAGUUGGUUCCACUUCAUAAAAAAUUGGCAAAACCAAUUGUUCCAUGCUCUUCCGGCAGUCAAGAAUUUUGACUAGUUCUUUAAGACACCAUUUAGAGUCCGCAAAGUUUUUAGAUAAAACAACAAUUGCAAACCUUGAUUCUUCAAUGGCUUCAAGAAUUUCCUCAAUUGGUUUUCCACCCUUCAAUUUUUCAUCAUCUUUGAAGGUCUCAAAUCCCUUCUUACACAAAGCAUCAUAGAGAUGAUUUGUGAAAAUCUUCCGAGUGUCCUUUCCUCUAAAACUGAUAAAAAUUUGGUAGCGAGCUGUUGUGUGGCUUAGACUGACUAAUGAUUCUUCCCAUUUCUCAAUCGACUUCUUUUUCAAGGAAAAUGCCACAUCUGUAAUUAAACCGGGUAAGCCAUUGCAUUUAAAAGAAACAUCCCUUACCACAUUAAAUUGAUCAACCUGGGAGUCAACACCUGAAAGUUAUUUUAGCAGGGCAAAAGCUUCUUUACUAGAUAUGGGCUUUAGAGGAAUCAAAUGAUCACAUCCCAUUGAAGUGCAGUCUGUCCCGUCACGUGCAGUCAAAAGAAACUUGUAUUGUUUGCUAUUAAAAGGAAUACCCAGUUCUUGCAGUUUAAACUCCGUUGGAAAAUUAUCUAAGAUGACAAGAGUAGUUUUAUCCGUCCUUCCUAAUUCCGAAUUUAUUUUGGUUAUUCUUGUGCCAUCAGUGUCAUGUUUUUCAAACACGUUCAACAUCUUAGCAAGUUCCUCUUGAAUUCUCUUAGUGUCUUGAUUCUCGGUGGGAAAUAUAACUCUUUGAAAAAUCCUGUCAUACUCAUUCAUAUGAGCUUUCACCAAUGUUGUUUUACCGGAGCCCUUCUUUCCAUGCAAUCCAAUUACAUUGCAAUUAUCAUCUUUAAGUGCCUCUAUAAGUUUCUGCAAAGCCUCUGUUGUAGAGUUGAAAUAAUACCCACUGUUUCUCGAAGUGAAGGACUGUAAAGGUGGGGUUGGUACUGUAGUCUGACCGCAAAUAUCAUGUUGCACUUGUGCCUCCAAGGGUGAAUCAUCUUAUUGUUUAUUUAUUUUUUUGAAAGUAUCUUAUCUAUUUAUAAUAUAGUAAUUGAGAAGCGCGCAAUCUAACGCCGCCACCUCAGCGAUUAUACUUCUAACAAGAGUGCCCACAUCAGCAAUUUUGAUGACGUGUCACGUUGUAGCUUCUAAAGUAUCGAAAAUACAGCUAGAGACCUAUCCCAGCCACAGAAUAGAACGACAUCACGCAGGAUUCAGCAAUAGACACGCAUCGGCAGACCCUUCUUCGUCAGCGAUGGCGACACAGCCCCUUUCUUCGUUCGGUUCCCCUCCCCUCCCGCUGGAUUCAAGAACCAACCAUGGCUGCCCUCUUUUCCUUUGGCCCCGACGAGUUCACCGCGCGGGCUCGCGCCUUCAAUUUCGGUUACACAAAAUUACUCUCUGAUUGCGAUUCCUCUUCCUCUAUCAUCGACUAUUGCUUCUUCGCAUCCUCCUUCCGCAGACCCUCUUGGAUCUCAGGCAGCCCCUCAGCCGUGACAUCUGAACCCAGCAAUUCAGUGAUAUUUGAAUGAAAACCAGGCCCCUUCCUUGCCUGAUAUCCACACCAGGGUUGUACCUCUGCAGCAACUCAGCCUCCACGCGUCCUCGCAGCAGCGGAGUCCUCCUUCCGCAAACCCCUCCCUUUCGAUCUCAACCUCCCUCCCCAGUCUUUCCUCUUCGAGCCACUGACUUGUGCCUCUGAUGGAUCUUCUAUGCCCCAAUUUCCGGCAUGUUAUUUGAAAAAUGCUACUCUCUAUUUUUAGUUUUCCAAUUCUGCUUUAUUGAGACCAAAAGAAUAUUUUUGUGUGUUAAGUGAUAAAUGAAGAAUCUUUUGUCAACUUACAUUUGCUUCUAUUUAUCAGAGAAUUGGAGCGUUUGAUCCAAUUUGAGACAUCAAUUGCCAUGUCAUUGUUUACUAGAUUCAUUCUUUGUGAUGGCUGCAUAUAAUACUCAAGAUUGGAGUAGUGACUCUUUUUAUUGUUAAUAGUAAUCCUGGUUUUCUCUUUGAUUUGUUCAAUUUUUAAUUUCAUAAUUAAUUGGAUUCCAUGUCUUUUUUUGAACAGGGAAACAAUCUUAAACUUUCAAAUCUCAAUCACUACAUGUAUAAAUUUGUGAGUGUCACCUUUAGAAUGCAAAGUAACGUGCUUAUGAUGUAGCCAAAAAAUGAGCAUUGCUUCAAAUGUGCUUCCAAUCUCUCUAUUGAGGUGGACUGAUAGUAAUAUCAUUUUUUAUGUAGGAUGACUGCCUGUUUCAAAUUUGUAUAUGGGACCAUCCCAGUUGUUUCAAAGAGUGGUAUUUUUCUAAUUUUCUAUGCGCCACUAUAUUUUUAGUCAGUUUUUCUAAAUAUAAUCUCUAGAUUUGUACACUAUUUGUCACGUAUUUAUGAUUUAAAUCUGAAGGUUACAAGAACAAUUCAAAGAGUUAACACACUUAUAUAUCUAAGAAUAAUCUGUUGACAUUCACUUAAAUGGAUGCAAAUUUGUUGGAAUUCAAAAUACUGAAAAUAGUUAUCACAUUGUAAUGUGUAUAAAUAUGCAUAGACAUACAAUUCAAUUCACUUUCAAUCCACAUUUGCAUCUUUCUCUUUAUUUAUUGUUGCACUACCAUGACUAACAGUGAAUCUGAUGUGUCUGUCCAUGGAUACAUUUGUCCCACCUUUGAAUAUGGCCUCUGUAGAUUAAGGAGCAAGAUAGAGAGGUUAAAGAGACCCAUGGAGAUGGUUGCCAAGAAACCGGAUACGGAAAUUGCACAUAUGGUAGAGAUGCUUCAAUGUCUUGGAUGACCACCAAGCAAGUGUGAAGUGAUUUUCAUCAUAAAACAAUAUAAAAGGAUCCAAUGUCACCACAACAAAUAUCAUCUGAUGAAGAAGAAUAACCAUUGGUGUUUAAAAAGAAAACAAAGGCAACAUUGACAAAGCUGAGGCAAUGUGCAUCAUUUGAUCAGGAAGAAAUCAACGACACAUAUGGCAUUACCUCCUCUGAUGAAGAACAAAUUUUUAUUCAAACCUUAAGGGCAAACACAUCUAGGAGAACCAAAGCUAGCAAUACAAAAUACAAACACUACGAGGAAGCCAACAAGAAUAGCUAGACAGAAAAUAAAAAGAGCAAUUCCAUAUGCGCAGCUUAUAUUUUAUUUUCUGCAAUUUAUAUCAUGUAUUUCACUAUUUUAUUUCUAAAUCAAAAGUAUAUUUUGUGGAAAUAACGCUUUGUAUGUCUUAACA